rnacentral:rRNA from 1 species
AGGGUGCAAGCGUUGUUCGGAAUUAUUGGGCGUAAAGCGCGUGUAGGCGGCUUAUCAAGUCAGAUGUGAAAGCCCUCGGCUCAACCGAGGAAGUGCGUCUGAAACUGAUGAGCUUGAGUACCGGAGAGGGUAGCGGAAUUCCGCAAGUAGAGGUGAAAUUCGUAGAGAUGCGGAGGAACACCGGUGGCGAAGGCGGCUACCUGGACGGUCACUGACGCUGAGACGCGAAAGCGUGGGGAGCAAACAGGAUUAGAUACCCUGGUACCACGCUGUAAACGAUGAGAACUAGGUGUCGUGGGUGUUGACCCCCGCGGUGCCGCAGCUAACGCAUUAAGUUCUCCGCCUGGAAAGUACGGCCGCAAGGCUAAAACUCAAAGGAAUUGACAGGGGCCCGCACAA